GAAACCAACAACUCAUUCUAACAUUUGGAUUAAAUUAACAUGUUAUGCUGCAGUUUAUUCGUGCCAAAAAAGUUGUUAGUAAUGCAUCUAUGUGGGAUACUGUGAAACUAUUACCAAGUGAUGUUGUUCCAUAGUCAUAUGUAGUCGUGUCAACACAGCUCCACAGUGCAAAUCAUUCAUUCAUCUCCAUUUGAGCUUUGAGGUAGAGGUGGAAUGUGAUAUAACAGGCAGUGAAAUAAAAUGAUGGAAUAUAAUACAAUUCGGUGUUGUUUUCAGCAUAACUCAUUACACGCUUAUCUACUAGAGACUGAAACUUAUGAACUCUGAAAUGGACUAGACCGUCUAAGCGCCGAAUAAAAAAUCUGAAGUUCCAAAGAUCAUAGGAGAACAGUGGAAAGUGUAAAUGGUCCCAGGUUCAGCAGGGAAAAGUGUGAGGUGAAGUUGGUUGGAUCCCCAUUGACACAUGAAAGAUUUGAGCCCCUGCAGUUACUGCUAGUGGAGCCAUUGUUGCCAUUCUAUCUCAACACUUCCAACGCCUUGAUGCCAUAGGAAUCUGACUAGCCUUUUGAGUGUUGUAUAUUCAACUGCGAAAUCUGAAUAGCAUGGUAAUGAUCUGAACUAUGCAUUGCAUGCCUGCCUUUGAGACUCAUAUUAUUGCUUCUUUUUCUAAUUUACAUAUUUUAAACUAUUAUAUGCUUUA